GACCCAAAGUAUGCUUGCACGCGCAGGGUCAUGGAUAUUGGACGGGCAAGCCAGUAUGAAUAAGAAGAGCGAUAGCUCAGAUUACGAAUACUGGCGGCAGAUGCGAGAGCGCACAGCACGUAGCAGCCCGCAGGUA
rnacentral:sRNA from 1 species